UUCAUACAAAGUUGCGGCUCGGUAGACUCCAAGGCGACUGAAAGAGGGUAACUCCGGAUUAGAGUGUCGAAGCGCAUUAGAAGCGUUAACAUCCGUGGGAAGCUAUAGCAGUUCUAACAAAGUGCACUUCCCAGUGUUGUAUACAGAAGGCUCCGCCUUUCUCGAUAAUGCCUUAUAGCUCUUGGGUGUGUUCACGUGAUACUAGCUUUUUAGUGGCUAACGGCUGAGUAAGGGUUAGACUAUAGCGGGUGGAGAGCUCGUCUCGCGGCAGUUGCACUGAGACACUGGCCAGACACGUACGAGACUUGCACGGGAGGAUGCUCGGCAAUGAGCGCAAGCUGGACCGAGGCACGACGCAUCAACGAUGAAGGCCUGAGGGAUGCCUAGCGGUGUGGAGGGCGAUUGUUCAUCCGCAAGGGGUUGACCUAUCCCUAGAGGAAGCCCGGGCUAAGUUCGUGCCAGCAGCCGCGGUAAGACGAACCGUGCGAACGUUGUUCGGAUUCAUUGGGCUUAAAGCGCGCGUAGGCGGCUCGGUAAGUCAGGGGUGAAAUCUCUCGGCUUAACUGGAAGGCGCCCUUCGAAACUGCCGGACUAGAGGUAGGAAGGGGAGAGUGGAACUCCGGGUGGAGCGGUGAAAUACGUAGAUAUCUGAAGGAACGCCGGUGGCGAAAGCGACUCACUGGAUCUCUACUGACGCUGAGGCGCGAAAGCUAGGGUAGCGAUCGGGAUUAGAUACCCGGGUAGUCCUAGCCGUAAACGAUGAGUACUAGGUUUGUAGGGGUUUCCAUCGCCCCUACAGGCCCAUAGCAAACAGUCUUAAAUUACCCCGCUUGGGGAGUAUCGUCCCAAGGGCG
rnacentral:rRNA from 1 species